AUUGAACGCUGGCGGCAGGCCUAACACAUGCAAGUCGAGCGGAUGAAGGGAGUUUGCUCCUGGAUUCAGCGGCGGACGGGUGAGUAAUGCCUAGGAAUCUGCCUGGUAGUGGGGGAUAACGUCCGGAAACGGGCGCUAAUACCGCAUACGUCCUGAGGGAGAAAGUGGGGGAUCUUCGGAUCUCACGCUAUCAGAUGAGCCUAGGUCGGAUUAGCUAGUUGGUGGGGUAAAGGCCUACCAAGGCGACGAUCCGUAACUGGUCUGAGAGGAUGAUCAGUCACACUGGAACUGAGACACGGUCCAGACUCCUACGGGAGGCAGCAGUGGGGAAUAUUGGACAAUGGGCGAAAGCCUGAUCCAGCCAUGCCGCGUGUGUGAAGAAGGUCUUCGGAUUGUAAAGCACUUUAAGUUGGGAGGAAGGGCAGUAAGUUAAUACCUUGCUGUUUUGACGUUACCAACAGAAUAAGCACCGGCUAACUUCGUG
rnacentral:rRNA from 1 species